AGGUCACUGCUAUCGGUUGUUCGAUUUAAGCCAUGCGAGUCGUGAAGGGGUAAAGCCCUCGGCGGAGUGCUCAGUAACACGUGGACAACCUACCCAAGAGUCAGGGGAUAACCCCGGGAAACUGGGGAUAAUACGUGAUAGGCCAUGACAUCUGGAAUCGAGUUGUGGUUUAAACGUAAGGCUCUUGGAUGGGUCUGCGGCGGAUUAGGUUGUUGCCGGUGUAACGUACCAGCAAGCCUGUAAUCCGUACGGGUUGUGGGAGCAAGAGCCCGGAGAUGGAUUUUGAGACACGAAUCCAGGCCCUACGGGGCGCAGCAGGCGCGAAACUCUACAAUGCAGGCAACUGCGAUAGGGGAACAUCGAGUGGCAUCCACCACGGAUGUCUGUCCAAUCGUCUAAAAAACGAUUGUCAGCAAGGGCCGGGCAAGACCGGUGCCAGCCGCCGCGGUAAUACCGGCGGCUCGAGUGGUGGCCGAUAAUAUUGAGUCUAAAGGGUCCGUAGCCGGCUUUGCAAGUCCUAUGGGAAAUCCAGCGGCUUAACCGUUGGGCUUUCAUGGGAUACUACAUUGCUUGGGACUGGGAGAGGUAGGAGGUACUCAGGGGGUAGGGGUGAAAUCCUGUAAUCCUUUGGGGACCACCGGUGGCGAAGGCGUCCUACCAGAACAGGUCCGACGGUGAGGGACGAAAGCUAGGGGCACGAACCGGAUUAGAUACCCGGGUAGUCCUAGCCGUAAACGAUGCUCGCUAGGUGUCACGACAGUCGUGAAUUGUCGUGGUGCCGUAGGGAAGCCUUGAAGCGAGCCACUUGGGAAGUACGACCGCAAGGUUGAAACUU
rnacentral:rRNA from 1 species